AGCCGCCGCGGGAACACCGGCGGCCCGAGUGGUGAUCGUGAUUAUUGGGUCUAAAGGGUCCGUAGCCGGUUUGGUCAGGUCCUCCGGGAAAUCUGAUAGCUCAACUAUUAGGCUUUCGGGGGAUACUGCCAGACUUGGAACCGGGAGAGGUAAGAGGUACUACAGGGGUAGGAGUGAAAUCUUGUAAUCCCUGUGGGACCACCUGUGGCGAAGGCGUCUUACCAGAACGGGUUCGACGGUGAGGACGAAAGCUGGGGGCACGAACCGGAUUAGAUACCCGGGUAGUCCCAGCCGUAAACGAUGCUCGCUAGGUGUCAGGCAUGGCGCGACCGUGUCUGGUGCCGCAGGGAAGCCGUGAAGCGAGCCACCUGGGAAGUACGGCCGCAAGGCUGAAACUUAAAGGAAUUGGCGGGGGAGCACAACAACGGGUGGAGCCCUGCGGUUUAAUUGGACUCAACGCCGGACAACUCACCGGGGGCGACAGCAAUAUGUAGGCCAAGCUGAAGACUUUGCCUGAAUCGCUGAGAAGAGGUGCAUGG
rnacentral:rRNA from 1 species